rnacentral:tRNA from 1 species
GCCGGGGUGGUGAAAUUGGUAGACACAUCAGCCUUAGGAGCUGAGGCCAGCAAUGGUAUGGAGGUUCGAGUCCUCUCCCCGGCA